UGAGCGGCGGACGGGUGAGUAACGCGUGGGUAACCUGCCUCAUACAGGGGGAUAACAGUUGGAAACGGCUGCUAAUACCGCAUAAGCGCACAGUACCGCAUGGUACCGUGUGAAAAACUCCGGUGGUAUGGGAUGGACCCGCGUCUGAUUAGCUAGUUGGUGGGGUAACGGCCUACCAAGGCGACGAUCAGUAGCCGACCUGAGAGGGUGACCGGCCACAUUGGGACUGAGACACGGCCCAA
rnacentral:rRNA from 1 species